UGGCCAAAGGGACAUUCCAUACUGCCUGGCAGCAUGGUCAGCACAUACAGCUUGGGGGUGCUGGCCAGGGAGUGGCUGUUCCUGCUUGGGGACCAGCUGGGCAUCAACCAGCUGGUGGUAUUUUCAUUACAACUAUAAAAGAGAUCUGCCAGAGGUGGGGACCUCUGGAAACCUGUCUGAACUGGUGCAUGCAUGGACAGGAGGAUGGAUAGAAGAAACCCACUGUGGGAAAACCUCCAGUGACUGAUGUUUUCCCUAACAGUCAGCAGGCUUGAAACAGGAGUUUGAAUAUGCUAAGAGACUCAAGAGUUGAAGCGCUGUAGCAGAAGUAAUCUGGAGAGCAAGAAACAUUGCCUAAGUGCCAGGACUGCCAGGCUGUCACAUUCCUACCUAGGCUGGCUCUCAGACAGAAGCAUGGCCAGAGGUCUGCAAGUGUCUUGAAUACUGUGCAUACCACCAACAAACUCUGAAAAUGUUAAUGCUCCAAGG